CGGGAGGAGAAUGGUCUGAAGUAA
rnacentral:piRNA from 1 species